rnacentral:tRNA from 1 species
AGCGGGGUGGGGCAGCUAGGAGUGCCCGGAGGGCUCAUAACCCUCAGUACCGUUAAGUUCGCUUAACAGUGAGGAAGUCGGUGGUUCAAAAGUUGAACACUGUUGUGUUUUUCCGUGGAAGUCCACCCCCCGCUA